rnacentral:lncRNA from 1 species
GUCUGCUGGGUUGUUGGGCUACAUUCUCUUAAGAAGGGUAUCCAUUCUGUCAUGUAGGGAUGAUUGCAAAACGACCUGUACAGCAAUGUAGUGAAUCCAAGGCAUGACCCCUAAAUUACAGGAGUCACAGGUGACAGCAGUUUCAUGGUUGGCACACCCAACAGCAACAAUGUCCUCACCUGCUCUGUGCCACGGGUGCAUCUGGAGUGCCGCAUUUCUUUCUCCUACAAGACUGCUUUCAGUGUCAGUGCUAUCCCAAGGAGAAGUGGAACAAACUUCUAAGCAGUGAAAGAACUCAAUCUUAACUGUUCUGUUACAUGUAUUUUUCUCUGGUUUCCAAAAUGACAAGUGAUGCCAAUGAAUUAGACUAAAAACUAAAACCAUC